rnacentral:lncRNA from 1 species
CUCCUUCUUAAAAAAACUCAAGAACUACUUUUUCUUUUUCCUUUCAUUCCUUUUAAAAGAAACUAAAGAACAGAGAGUUAAUCUCUUCAUGUGCGAUAAGAUCAUACAAAACAAAAAACAAAGAUAAAGAUUUAGAGAUGGAAGACAAUGUUGAGAUUGAGAUUGAGAUUGAGAGAAGAGAAGACGCAACAGCAACUCCAACUCCAACUCGAUGUUUUUGUUGGUGACAGAGGAUGGAAGCACUACUAGAGGCGUCAGUUAUGGUCACCCCUAAGGUGGCAGUGGUAGACGUAUUUGCUUAUGGUGAUUAGAUUUGUACAAUGUUAUACCAUUAAAGCCUUCCUCUUAUCCGGUUUAGUUAGAUUCUUAAGGUAUUUCUCUAAACCUAAGUCAAGAAUUAAUUUUAAUGGAUUUAGUUACAUACACUUUAUGAAGAUUGACUCUUGAAAUUGAAUCUAAAACUGUUAAAUGCAUGUUGGAAUUAAGUUGGAUUUGUGAAAUGCUCCAAGAAAUAAAUUAAAAGCAUUAGGGACAUGCUUAAUGCUUGUGAAUACAGUUUUUGAUAAAUUGGUAUUGAAUAAAUUUGAAUUAUUAAUAUUCUUAGUUAUUGAAUAAAUUGAAAUAAUUGUUAUUCUUAACAUAUGUAAAAUAAAAAUACUUGAAUGAGUGGUUGAAAGUGAACUUGGAAACUAAAAAAUGGUCUACAACGACGCACCAAAUAAUUUAUGUGUUUAAAAGACAUUUAUUGAUAAUGAUUCGAAGCAGAUGAAGCAGAAGAGGGUGAUGUAAGGGACAACAAGAGUAGAUAGACAGUGGAGUGGCGGGAGUUAUAUUGAAGGAAAUCCGGCCUAGAACAGGACCCGGCCCGGGUCGGAUACUGUCAUAAGAUGGUCUCUGAAUUUAUAUGUAUAUAUAAUUGAUAAACAUUUAAAUAAUAAUCUGUAAGUUAAUUAAUACUAAAAGAUAUAACUAAUUUAAUUAUUUAUAAUUGAUAAAUAUCUAUUAUACUGUUAAGAAUAAUAUAGUUAGAGAAAUUGAGUAAAUUAACAAAAUGCUAUGGGUAAGUAUAAGAAAUUAACCACUUGAUUAUCAUUUUUGUAAAAUGACUAUCUACUUUGGAAUGGUCCAUUACAGAGUAAGUUAUCCAGCCCAGGCGACCAACCCAUUUUGUAUAGUGUUUCGGAAUGAAUGUUCACUACAUAUGAGAUUCUAGAAUAUAAGCUGAAAUAUCUUUAUAUUUCAGAUUAAGUAUGGAAAGAAGAAAUGACAUUUGAUUCCAAUGAGUUUGAAGUUUUACAGUUCAUUUACAUCUACUUAUUGAUUUUUUCUAGUUUAACUGAGCACCCUAAAUCUGAAACAUGAAUAAUAUGUUGGGAAUGCAAAUAUCAGGAAUUUCUUAUUAAUCGAUACAAAGUGUCUUAGAUAGGUAGUUAUUUAGUCUUAAUAGCGACCCAAAAUAUUAGAUAAGUAGUUAGGUUAACAAUAGUAACCUACUAGUAAUUUCAGAAUGAUUUUUGUUUUCCAGAAUACAAAGAACAAUUAUGGAAUACAAUGAACUAAUCUGAAUAUGAAUAAACAGUCUUAGUAAUGACCCAAAAGAUUGGAUAAGUAGUUUUUUUAAAACAGCAAAUCUAAUUUACCCAUAAACUCCUCCUAAUUUCACUUAUGUCCAAAACGGGACUUAUACAUCGACCGCAAGUAAGAAGGGUAACACCUAAUAUUGCUAGGUUAGAAACUGUUUGGAAGAAACUCAAUGAUUUAGUGUUGAACCAUUUAGAUUUUAUGAUGCAUGAACCAUUAUGAAGCUUGAAUCAUUCAUGUGGAUACUUGUUGAACGGAUAUUUUGAAUGAAAAAAUUAUCAUUUUACCCUUCCAACAAAAACAACUUCAACUGCAUAUAAAAUAGGAUAGUAAAAAAUACAUUUUUUAAAGGCACAAAUAUUUAACAACAAACUAAUGUAAUAAAUAUAUUAGUAAUUAGAAAAAGAAAAUUAGUUAACGGGGAUGUUAUUAGGGGUGAGAAUUUGGUUAGAUGGACCGGUACCAAUUUUAUGUAUUUGGGCCGGAUUUCGGUUCUUGGAUUGUCAAUUUGGCAGUUCCAAUUGUACUAUACGUAAUAAAUAAUGGACCCGACCGGUUGAAUGCAAUGAAUGUUGUACACAUCCAAGAACCAGAAAAACGGUCCAAAUGCACACGCUAGGUGUAAAGCCAUUUGUUUUGUGCCUAGGUACAAACUAAACGAAAGUGAAACCAAGAGAAGAGAAUGAAUUUUUUUUACAAGCUUUAUAUCCAUAUGAUUUUCACCAGAAACACAACACAACACAACACAGACACAGACCCAGUUCCAACUUCAUCACUGUUCUAAUUUUCUACAUAUCUCCCUCUCCUUCUACGUAAAUGGCAACACUUCCAUUCCCAUCAACAACAUCCUCAAGAGGCCUUUUUUUUAGCAGAAAAGCUCUUGCCUCUCAACAUAAAAUAGUAAUAGUAAUAAUAAUAAUAAUACAAAAGGCUUUCUUACACUCUCUACUAUUAUAAAGAUGAAGAUCGUGUGUUCUUCUUCAGUGUAUAAAAACUUAACUCUGUAGUAAACCUAUGUUGACUGACCUGAACUUGAAGACGACUGCUUUGACUUACUCCCGUUUUCUUCACCACUCAGCAAAUGUGGUGGAGCCAAGUUGAACCCGUUUUCCUUGAUGGACCCAAACGGGUCCUCUUUCUGUUUUUGGAAAGCUUCUAUUCGUUUUAAAGAUGGAACGUUUCCGUUACAGUAGCCUCGCCACAUGUCCCGGUAAGCAGAUUCCAAUCCGGUGAUGAAUUUGGAUCCGUUGCAGAGAGGGGAAUUGGCCAUGAGAUUCCGGAGGUCCAUUCUCAGGUUUGAGAGUGCGGUGAUGUUUGAAGCUAACUCCAGUGCUGACCGGAUAUAUUCUUCUUCGUUUUUUGCAACAAGGUGUUUUAAGCCUGGAAUUACAAAGUAAAAUCAAAUUUACUAAUAUAUAAAUCAACUCUUAGUCUUAGCUUACUUAGGUAGGCCAUAAUCGAAAAGGAAUGGAAUGGAGUACUCCUAAUGUGAAUCUUUUUUCAUUCUGGAAUGGAAUAGUAUAUUAUAGAGUAAAUCACAUUUUUGAUCCCUGAGUAUAGCUGUUUUCAGUUUUGGUCCUAAAAAUCGUACUCUCGCAAUUUUGGUCCAUGUUCCAAGUAAAAUUACUGUUUUCAAGACCAAAAUUGCAAUAGUCACUGAUACGCAAGGACUAAGAAUGGUCAUUUUACUUGGAACAGAGAACAAAAAUGUUACCAAAACUUGUUGAAACCAAAAUUGAAUAAAAUUAGCUUAUAAUAGACUCUAUAUCACAUCUAUAAUCUAUUUAAUUUUUUUUAUUCAAGUGAUAAGUACACUUUUUUCAGAUGACAAGAAAUAUAGUUAUCUACAAUUUGUUUAACGUAAUAUAAUUAUUUAUUACCUUGUUCAUUCCAUAUUUCCAUUCCAACAAUCACAGGGAAAUAAAUGUGAAGUGGAAAAAUAAAAGAUUGAAGAGGUCUUACCAACUGCAUUUAAAAGACUGACACCAACAUUAUGC